rnacentral:misc_RNA from 1 species
CGCACAUUGCGCCCCUUGGCAUUCCGAGGGGCAUACCUGUUCGAGCGUCAUUGCACCCCUCAAGCUCUCUCUGGCUUGGUGUUGAGCCGCGCGUCUCUCGGGACGGGCUCGAACGGCAGUGGCGGUCCGGCGCGCCUGCAAGUGCAGUAGGCAUAUCGUUCGCUUGAACGGCGCGCCCGGGUCCGGCCAGACAACCCCCUUCGCAAUCAAACCGUUUGACCUCGGAUCAGGUAGGGAUACCCGCUGAACUUAA